rnacentral:ncRNA from 1 species
GGGACUAUUAUGGAUUACUAGCUAACAUAUCAAGGAGGGAGCUAACAAUGCAAAAUCAUAGUUAAAAAAUUAUCUAUGUAACUCCUAAGGGAAACCAAAUAUAAUUACAGAGUGAAGUGAAACAUCUAAAUAACUCUAGGAAAAGAAAUCAACCGAGAUUCCAUUAGUAGUGGUGAGCGAACGUGGAUUAGCCUAUAAUAUAUAAAUACUAUUUAACUUAAUAAUAUUGAGUAAAAAAAAAAAAAAAAUCUUAAUUUGAUUAAGGUUCAAUUAAGGGAUUAAUAGAUUUGAAAAUCUAGCCAAAGAUGGUAAUAAGCCCAGUAUCAACCUUAAUAUAUAUUUAAACAAGUAGAACGGCAGAAAAGCUGUUUGAAUUGUUUCUCAAGUGGGGGAACCAUCCUCUAAGGCUAAAUAUGGUAUGUUAAGCGAUAGAGAAAGUACCGUGAGGGAAAGUUUGAAAAGAUUUGGUCUUUCUCCAGUCUUUAUCGACUGAGAAAGACCUGGAGCCUAAGGCAUAGUGAAAAAGAGAUGAAAUAGUAGUUCUACAAGCAGCCGGAAUGAAGCUUUUAAUAGCUAAUAACGGUGUACCUUUUGCAUAAUGGGUCAGCAACUUAAUCGGUGAUGCAAGCAGAAAUGCCUAGAUAAAACGACUAUAUAAAGAAUGAUGGUAUAAUCUUUCUUAAUUUAAUUAAUUAAGAAAGAUAUAAGUAUCCUCGAUUAGACCCGAAACCAAGUGAUCUUACCAUGGUCAAGUAUAUAAAUGACUGAACGGGUAGAAAUGCCCAUUAGAUAGGUGACUAUCUAUUAUUAUUAAUUAAUAGUUAAUAAUAAGUUAAUAUAAUUAAAUUAUAUUUUCUAUGUACCAGCUCAAAACGGUGGAACCCUAAAAUAAAUAUUGAAUUUAUCAUGGCAAUACCGUGGGUAAGUUUUAUAAUUCUAGAAAUCAAGAAUAAAAAAUUCUUAUUGUUAUUUUAAUGAGAAAUAAAUUAACAAGCUUUAUAAAACCCUGUAACGACUGACCGAAAGGAAGGCUUUAAUUAUUAUUAAGGCAACACGCUGGCACUCGAUGAUUUCAGUUCUAUUAUGAACUAAACAAAACAAAAAUAAAAUAACAAAAAUAAAAUAAAACAACAAAUAUGAAAAAACUAAAGACAUUAACUCAAAUACAGCAAAAAAUACUUGUUGGACCAUUACUAGGAGAUGGAGGGGCGUUAGCCUGUUCAACGGAAAAGAAAAUAUAAAUGCAAGAUACCAUGUAAGAAUAGGUCUAAUACCUGAAGCAUAAAUUAUGGUGGCUCUCUCUUUUAAAGAGAGUAACUUGCUUUUAAGACCAGAUUUAUUUGAAACAUUCAAAGACAGGUGUCAAACAGCACCAAAAAUAACCACAACGUUUAACCCAAAAAUAAAUAAAGAAUAUAAAGUAAUAUCUUUUAUGACUUUGAGUUAUCCUUGUUUAAAUUCUUUUAGUAGGGUAAACCCCACUCUUUUAUGUUGAUGGAAUCAAAAUCGUUCCUCUUAAUAUAAAAGAGAUGUUAACUGCUAGAGUAUUGGCUCAAUGGUGCGACCCCCUACUUGUAUUAUUUAUAUACAUAAAUAAGACCAGAUAAUGGAUGAUGAAGGAGCGGAUGGAAAUGGUUUAAGACUCUAUACCAACAGGAGGCAAAGCCCCUCUAAAAAGUAUAGAAUUACUUCAAUCGGCCUUAUUUGCAAAUAUUUAAAUAAAAGCUCAAAUUAGCCAUGUAAAUAAAAAAAGCAGUCGCCCGAUCAAUAUAAACUAUAUAUUUCUGUUGAAUCCAUGGAUAGACUUAGAAAUCUUGUUAAAGAUUAUAUUUUACCUUUUAGGUAUUACAAAUUAAAUUAUUUAAUAAGUAAAUUAGCCUUUUAGUUAAAGUUAAAAGGGAUUUAAUUUAAAUAUAAUGUUAUUUUAUUAUGUUAUCAAAAUUUAGAUCUACUAUAGAAAAUCGAGUUGAAGGUAUAGUCUAAACAUGAGCGAAAGUUUAUGCUAAUGUAAUUGGUUUGUCGCAAAAAGCUCCGAUGAACUGUGGUAAGUAAGUGAAAGACAAAUCUGACUUGGAGAUAGCUGGUAUUCCGCGAAACCUAUUUUAGUAGGUCAUCCAUACAAUAACUUUUAAUGCGAAAUAUAACUUUGCUGGAAAGUUAACUUAUUAGCAGGUACAGCACUUGAAUUCCAUAAUCUUUAUUUUAACUUCUUAUUUAUCUUAAAUAAGAAUCGCUUUAAGGCGAAAAGUUGAUAAAGCUUUAUAUUGGGGGGUCGUGAAGGCUCUAUCAUUGGAAAUUAACCUCGGAAUGGCAAAUAAGAAUAAUGGACAAUCAGACACCUGGUGCUAAGGUCAUGUGUCAAAAGGGAAACAGCCCAGAACAAGAAAAUUAAGGCUCCAAAAUCAUUGUGGUCUUAUCCAUAGGAUAAGACAACUUUUUGACCUUUAAAGGUCAAAUCAGUUAAGUGAAAUAAAGGGAGUUAUUCACCUUCUACAGCCAUGAAGUGAGCUUAGAGGCAGCUAUCUUUUAAAGACCGCGUAAUAGCGCAGUGGUCCAAAUGAAAAUGGGAGAAUAGCACCGAAAAUUUAUCGGAUCUAAACAAUGUGCCGAAAUCUUGUGUUUUAUAAUUUGGCUUAAUGUUUUAAAGCAGAGCCAAAUUAUAAGACGGUAGCGGAACAUUCAGUAAAUGGAUGAAGAGUAGUGUUUCAUUACUUGGACAUAACUGAAGAGAGAAUGCUGACAUGAGUAACGUUAAAGGUGGUCUAUUUUAAAUAAAAAAAAAAAAAUUUUUUUUUUAUCUUUAAUAAAUAUAAUCCACCUCGCCUUAAGCAGAAGGGUUUCAAGGCAAUGCUUAACAGCCUUGAGUAAAGUAACGGCCUCUAAGAUAAUAACCGAAAGGGUUAAAACGAUGAGAAAAUAAAUAAAACUUCUUUCUGAAUAAAAACCAGUUAUAUUAGUAUAAAAGGUUCAGGAAAAAACAGUAGUUGGUAGCUUUUUUUUUUAAGAAAAGCUUUAGAGAGUGGUUAGAACUUUUUUUUUUCUGCUGCAGAUUCUCUCCAACUAUCAAAGAAAGAAGUCUAUAAUUUAUAGACUUCUUAUUAAACCGUACCCUAAACCGACACUGGUUUGCUAGUAGGGAAUACUAAGGCGUAUGAGAGAACUAUCGCGAAGGAACUCGGCAAAAUGCCUCCGUAACUUAGGGAGAAGGAGUACCGUUCGUUAAUUUGCUUGUAAGUGUAGAGCUUGCGCAGCAAAUUAACGAACGGCCACAGAAAAUCGUGUUGUACAACUGUUUACUUAAAACACAGUACUUUGCAAAGACGUAAGUCUAAGUAUAAGGUAUGAAAUCUGCCCGAUGUCAUAGGCUAACUGACUUUCUAUUAUUUAGGAAAGAAAGGAACCCCUGAUCAAUGGCGGCCUUAACUAUAAGGGUCCUAAGGUAAGCUUUGAAAUAAAAGCUAGUAUAAUAAAAUACGCUGCCUAAUCGACUUUUAUAUAUA